rnacentral:lncRNA from 1 species
AAGUUAACAGAAGCACGGUGCCCCGAGGACAGCCGAGCGAAGCAAAAGCCAAACGUCCGAUUCUUAAAGCGGAGGAAACUGGCACGAGACUGCUCCUCACGCGGACGUGGCAUGGGCGUAAUCGCCGAGGUCUCAUCGCGUCGCUGAGCGUCGUCAUCCUGCCGCGAGCGGCGCGACUCCGCAAUGCGAGGAGACGGUUGAUGGACGUCCGUAGCACGGCACGACUUUGUAGGAGGCAACCAAGGGUCCUCGUCCCGAAGCGAAGCCUCAGCUCAAUGGGACACCGGAAGGGCGCCCGCAGCAACCUCACAUCCCGGAAGGACACCUGCAGCGACCUCACAGAUAAGUAGCUGGGAGGCGCUGUAAUGGCGGACCGCAGGGCCACCCGGGCUUCGUGCCGCAGCAGGGGUGGGGAGGCCGCCAGACGCUCCCUACAGGGAGAGGAUGCCACAGAGUCCAGCACAACUUCGCCGGAGGCCGCGGAAGGCACGGAAGGACGUCGUGAGGAGAUUGACGACGGUGUGCGCACAGGGCUUGGAUCCCGGUCUGAAGCCAAUGAGAAAGAGAGCGGCUCCUCCAGGAGAGCCCACGGGGCCUAUGGGGAGAGGCGCACCGGCCUGAACGGAAGAGGGGGCAGGAUCCCCGACGGCGGCGAUGGCCGCAGAGUUGUCGGGGUCGCCGGCGAGGUCGUCAUAAAAAACCAUGGCAGCUGCAGGGGGUGACGUAGGCGAGCUGACGAGCGGAGGCGGGGACAGAGGAACCCCCGAGGAUCCCAGAUCCGAGCGAACAGGGUGCAGAGGAGGACGGACGAUGGAGAUCAGGCGAGCGGCGCACCGCUAGCGAGCUCGUCGCGCUCUCAUCAUAGUUUGUUGGACAAGGCACCUGUCAUCACGAGGACAACCAAAAAGGAAACCAUGUAUAUUUAUUGAUAUUUUAAAAAAUUCAAAAAAUCAUAACUUUUGAUUCAAGUGUUGGAAUUUAGAUCCGUUUUUACUAUUGGAUUUAUCACGACGAGUUCUACAAAACUAGAUCUCAUGUGGAUAGGUUUUGAUCAACUAGUUUUCGAACA